rnacentral:rRNA from 1 species
AGCUCCAAUAGCGUAUAUUAAAGUUGUUGCAGUUAAAAAGCUCGUAGUUGGAUUUCUGGUGGGAGCGAUAUGCCCGCGCCGCAAGGCGUGUGAGCUUGUUCGUCUCCGGCCAUCCUUGGGGAAAACGUGCCUGGCAUUAGGUUGUCGGGUUCGGGAUCCUCAUCGUUUACUGUGAAAAAUUAGAGUGUUUAAAGCAGGCUUAUGCCGUUGAAUACAUUAGCAUGGAAUAAUAAGAUAGGACUUUGGUGGUCUAUUUUGUUGGUUUGCACACCAAGGUAAUGAUUAAUAGGGAUAGUUGGGGGUAUUCGUAUUCAAUUGUCAGAGGUGAAAUUCUUGGAUUUAUGGAAGACGAACUACUGCGAAAGCAUUUUACCAAGGAUGUUUUCAU